UACGGAGGGUGCAAGCGUUAUCCGGAAUCACUGGGCGUAAAGGGCGCGUAGGCGGUCCGCCGAGUCUGAUGUUAAAGACCGGGGCUCAACCCCGGCACGGCGUUGGAUACUGGCGGGCUAGACGACUGGAGAGGAAAGUAGAAUUACCAGUGUAGCGGUGGAAUGCGUAGAUACUGGUAGGAAUACCCAUUGCGAAGGCAGCUUUCUGGACAGUUUGUGACGCUGAGGCGCGAAAGUGUGGGGAGCAAACCGG
rnacentral:misc_RNA from 1 species